rnacentral:lncRNA from 1 species
UUGGCAAUGUCAUCUUCCUCCUCCCCUUCACAGGUCAUCUUCCUCCUCCCCUUCGCCGCCGCUUCAACACCAUGGACGCCGAUCUCCUCAUCCAUUACAGCCACAACUGCCAUUAUGACGAAGAUUGAUUUAGUCCAGCAAUUAAAAGGAGAAAAAGAUAAAUUUUAGUGCAGUUGGUAUCCAAAUAUUUAUACAAAGAUAACCAUUUUAGUUUUUGUGGGUUACCAAGAGAAAUUUCAGUGCAGUUGGUAACCAAAACUUUCAAAGGUAACAAUUUUAGUUUUUGUUGGUUACAUUUGUAUUAAGGUGUGGCUACCAACUGCACUAUGAAAAAAAAAAUCUAUAAUAGAUUUUUUAUAAUUAAUUAGUAACCCAAUAAAACUGAAUUGAUUACCUUUGUAUUAAGGUUUGGCUACCAACUGCAUUAUAAAAAAAAUCUACAAUAGAUUUUUUUUAAUUAAUUGGUAACCCAAUAAAACUGAAUUUGUUACAUUUGUAUAAAGUGUUAGCUACCAACUGCACUAUUAAAUAAAAAAAAAUCUAUAAUAGAUUUUUUAAAAAUAAAUUAGAAACCUAAUAACACUGAAUUGGUUACCUUGGUAUGAAUGUUUGUCUACCAACUGUACUAUAAAAAAAUCGCAGCAACUGUACUAUGAAAAAAUCGCAGGUGGAGGAUGGUGUUAACAAGUUGGGACUGUCUAGGUUAAUGGUAGAGGAGGGCGGAGGAGAAGGGCGGAGGAGAAGGACGUUAAUGGUGGAGGAGGGCGGAGGAUGGGGACUGUCUAGGUUAAUGGUGGAGGAUGGCGUUAAUAGUGGAGGAGGGCGGAGAAGAAGGGCGAAUGAGAAUGGCGUUAAUAGUGGAGGAGGGCGGAGGAUGACGUUAACAAGUUGGGACUGUUAAUGGUGGAGGAGGAGAAGACUUACAAGGGCGAAGGAAGCGUGAUUUUUAUUAAGAAAAGAGAAGGUGUGCUAUAUAAUUUACUUAUUAAUUACUUAAUUUAAUAAGUAAAUCAAUAUUAAUCCCCUAAAUUAAGGAAUCCUAAUUGCAUACUAAUUUCCUAAAUUAAGGAAUUCUAAUUGCACUAAUAUUUUAAAUAAAUAUAAAAGUGUAUUAAUUGUGUAAAUAUUUUAUGAGUGAACUAUUGUUGUAAUUAUUUUUAAAAAUAUAAUAGAAUAUGUAAUUGUUCCUAUUUAGAAUAUAGAUUUAAAUGCUAUUUACUUUAUUUAUUAUUAUUAUCAUUAUUAUAAUUUUUUUUCCUAGGUAUUACAUAUUUGUUAUGGAUGAAAAAUGAGCAAAUAGCAUCAUAACCAUCCAUUACAAAAAUUAAUGACUGAGAUUUAAUACACAAUUUUGCCUUCUGCUAGUUCAACUAGCGGACGUAGGGAAAAAAAUUAGACAGAAUUGUCCCUAAUAUCAAGCUAUCAAGUCCCCAAUAUCAAGCUAAUGAAGCAAAUUUGGGCCUAAAUUUAUAUAUCCGCUAGUUUAACUAGCGGAAGAAAGAAGAAUGAAUCUCGAUUAUUACGCCUAAUAUUAACAAAUAUCAGAUCUAAAGACAGAACUACCUUACUGUGUUCAUAAUAACUGCCUUGGAGAUUUUCCGGCGCUUCCAGUGGGUAUUCUUUCGUGUAGAAAACGAGUGGAAUAAAAUGAACUCUAAACAGAACAUUCAACUCUUCAUGACUGAAUUGUUGAGCGAGGAAGACAAAUUACUCUUCAGUAAUCACAAUGUAUAAACAACUAUAAUUUAUCACGUGCUUAACAGCAUCAUUCCAUAUUUACCACUAACAUCGUCCAUAUAUAUUAGAUCUGAUAUUUGUCAACCAAAUAUUCGAGAAUAUAUAUUAGAUCUAAUAUUUGCUAAUAUUAUGCGUAAUAAUGGAGAUCCAUUCUUCUUUCUUUCGCUAGUUAAACUAGCGGAUAUAUAAAUUUAGACCCAAAUUUGUUUCAUUGGCUUGAUAGCUUGAUAUUAGGAACUUAGAUAGCUUGAUAUUAGGGACAAUUAUGUCUAAAUUUAUUUUUUUCUGCGUCCGCUAGUUGAACUAGCGGAAGGCAAAAUUAUGUAUUAAAUCUCAAUUAUUAAUUUUUGUAAUGGAUGAUUGUGAUGUUAUUUGACCAUUUUUUAUCUAUAACAAAUACAUAUUAUGAAUCAUUUUCCUAUAUAUACAUAUAUAUUAUUGAAAAAAAAGUGUACUAAAUGUAAUUAAGUUGUGUACCCAAAUUUUACACCCAUUUAUAAUGCAUCAAGCUAAGAGAUACUUCAGGGGUGCAUUAAAAUUAAAGAGUAUCGAGCUAAGAGAUACUUCACGAUCUUUCGUUACAUGCCAUUUAUAAUGGCAUCAAUAUUUUGAAAAAGUAUAACACACGCUUUUGUACAUAAAAUGAGAGAAAAUAUUGUAUUCAAUUAUACAACACGAUAUUAUUCGUGUUUAAUAGCUUACACAUUUAUAUGUUGUCCCUCACUUCCCUUUAUGCUUUAAAAUUAAUUAUAAUUUUUGUUUUGUUAUUAAAAGAAAGAUAUAUGAAUGUCGAUACUCAAUAUAUACAGUUAUGUUAUGUUUGUUUGUAAAAAUUAUAUUUGAGAUAUAAAAAUUAAUCUCAAGUGUCUGGUUUGUUUUUAAAUUUGAAAUUGAGACUAUUAGUCGAGGAAUUAUAAAAUAAUUUAAUAUGAUGAACUAUUUAAUAUUAUAUUCAAUCAAGUAUUAUAAUCUCGAUAUUAUAAUAUUAAAAUUUUAAUGUUAUAAUUCUCACAAAUAAAGAUGAGCCAAGUAGUAGAAGAUGUAAAUUAGAAUAGACAAGUGAGUGGAUGGUCAGGGAGAUGCAGAAAUAGUAUUUCAAGAUCCAUUACGUGUCCAAGGCCUUUUGUUCUUCUUGGCAUAUGUUAUUUUGGCACAAAUCUUUUUGAUUCUUAAAAAGAAACAGUUCGAGAAGGUUCAAUUGUCCGAAAUGAAUUUUUAGACUCGCGGAUUUAUCGACAUUGAGUUCAUAACAUAAAAAUAAAAUAAAAUUAGGUAAUUAUCUAUGAUAAAAAAAUUACAUUAUGAAAAGCCUUUUGCUUAUUUAUACUAUUUUUCCACGAGAUAACUAGUUAGAUCGCAUAGUCCCUCUCAACAUAAAAGAAAAAGGACACUGCACUGGAUACAAUUCUCUCAAAAGAUAUAUAUAUAUAUAUAUAUAUAUAUAUAUAUAUAUAUAUAUACUGGUCCUACAAGGUGAUCGAGUCUCAUUGUAUAGAUCAUAAAUAAUCAUGCAUGACAUAAUGUAAUGACUAGUGUUAAUUACUGUAGCACCACGGUAAAUUAAAGUUUCUUAAAUUUAUGAAUUUAAAACGGCCCCAUAUUUUGGAUGACCUAUUUCUUUAUAUAUAUUUUCAGGUUGAAGGUGCGGUGUCACGAAGCGAUGAUUUACAAUAGUUGGUGGGAUGGAGUGUCGGUAGCUUCAGCGUUUUUGGCCUCCCACUCCCACUAACUAACUAGCCUCUUAUACUAACAUGUCUGUUUCGGCAAAUUUAAUAUUGGAUUAAUCAUGUAAAUAUAUAAUAAUAUAUUUAGUAAUAUUAUUAUUACCUCCUCCGUUCAAAAAGUAUAGCUAUAUUUUUCUUUCUUAUCCAGUUAUAUGUUUCAAACUUAGAUUAUAUAUUUAUUUUUAUAACGUAAAAUGACAUGAAAGGGAAAAGAGCUGACCUUUAAACUCCUCACCGGGAUGAGUAAGCGAACAUUUAAAGCGUAGGAAUCACGGACCGCAGAUCGUAAGCCUAUUUCAAAAGUUUUAAUCGGCGUGAGAAGAUUACUCCGACGCAAAUUCACAUAUCAAAUUUUUGAAGAAAAUCAAGAAAACCCACACAAGAUGACAAGCCCAAACAUCAGUAUGGACAUAAAUGAAGAGAUUUCUUUUUCGGCCUAAAUCUCUUCCGGCUUCAGUCACUUG